rnacentral:rRNA from 1 species
GAUGAACGCUGGCGGCGUGCCUAAUACAUGCAAGUCGAGCGAACGGACGAGAAGCUUGCUUCUCUGAUGUUAGCGGCGGACGGGUGAGUAACACGUGGAUAACCUACCUAUAAGACUGGGAUAACUUCGGGAAACCGGAGCUAAUACCGGAUAAUAUUUUGAACCGCAUGGUUCAAAAGUGAAAGACGGUCUUGCUGUCACUUAUAGAUGGAUCCGCGCUGCAUUAGCUAGUUGGUAAGGUAACGGCUUACCAAGGCAACGAUGCAUAGCCGACCUGAGAGGGUGAUCGGCCACACUGGAACUGAGACACGGUCCAGACUCCUACGGGAGGCAGCAGUAGGGAAUCUUCCGCAAUGGGCGAAAGCCUGACGGAGCAACGCCGCGUGAGUGAUGAAGGUCUUCGGAUCGUAAAACUCUGUUAUUAGGGAAGAACAUAUGUGUAAGUAACUGUGCACAUCUUGACGGUACCAAAUCAGAAAGCAACGGCUAACUACGUG